GGGAGGAAGAAGAAAGGAUUAGAGCUUGGAGGGGUGUUGCAAGAGCUGAAAGAUCAGAGAACUGAAGUGAGGGAGACUCCCUCCCACAGCAUCUAAGGACUGAGGGUAACCCUACCUAAGGGGGAAGAGGGUAGGAAACCCACAGGGGUUGAAAGGGGCUGGGACUCAGAGUGAGGAGCAAACCCAGACCCCACCCACACUUCCCUCCUCCACCACCUUCCUGGGCCACUAGUGAGGCCUUUGGCACCCAAGAGCAGGGGCAAAGGGUGAUGUCUUGGCACUGCCCCUCCUCUCCCCCACCAAGAAAAGCACAGGACCCACCAUAUGAACAUUGGCCAUCUCGUUGCAUUGUGGGACACGUAGUUACAUAUAUCCUAUUAUUCUUCUGCCUUCACAUCUUACUUCCUUUCUGAGCAGGAUUUUCAAAUUGCUGUCAGGCAGCCUGAAGUUAACAAUGCUCCAUGCCAAUAUGCUGGUGAACUGAAAUGUGCAGAGGUGCUUGGGCUGUAUUUCAGCACUCAAAGAUGGAUUAAUCUGGCUUGGACUUUGUCAGCUGAACCACUGAGCAGAUAUUGUGGCAGCAGCUCCUCCAACAGCAGGAGGCACUUCAGUGGCAGUGGAACUGGGGCACAAGAAGGAAGAAGAGGUACCCACUGAGCAAGUGAUACUAGAGGACUGGUUUCUGGAGCAGCUUCACAACAUGCACCACUGUUUCUGGGCUUUGGAAACCAUCAUGGAUUAGUGGGAAAGGAUUGUUCUGCACACCUGAGAGGACCAUGCAGUGAUGAGAGAAUUUCCAGGGGAGGAAGGCAACCUUUCUGGAGAUAUAUGCUGAACUAACUUCAGAGGUACAGGGCCAUUGUCAUGCAGGUGUGUGAUGCCAUGGAAAAGGUACUUUUGCAUGGAGUUAUAAGGUUCGGUAAUGCUCAGGAGGCUUUGAUAGAUUUAACACAUGGCAUUCCUAAACUGUAUUGGGGCCAACUGAUGGUUUUCAUGUGCCUAUUAUUUGUUCCAUCCCCCUUCAGGGAUCAAAAUUCAUAAACAAAAAGGGGUAUGUCUCCACGGUGCUCCUGGGGCUUGUAGACCACCAUGGCAGGUUUAUGGACAUAAAUGUAAAGUGUUCUGGAAGGGUCCAGGAUGCUAGGUUUUCUCAGAACUCUGCUCCAUUUAAAAUAAUGGAGAAAGGACUGUUUGCCCCCAGGAACAUUGUGCACAUUAAUGGUGUUGACAUUACUCCAGUUAUUUUGGGGGACCUGGCUUACCCUCUGCAUCCCUGUAAAGGAAACCAUUCACAGGCCACUUGGACAGAAGGAAGGAACUGUUUAACUACUGUUUCCGUAGUUGGAGAUUGACAGUGGAGUGUGGACAUUGCACGGUUUGAAAGGCAGAUUGUGCUAUUUGUGGAAUAAGUUGGAGGAAGCAGCAGCAAAAAACCUUCCCAAAGAUUAUAGCAGCAUGUUGUACUUUACCCAAUAUUUAUGAGAGUAAGGGGGGAAAAAAAAGUGUUUGCGAUGGGUCGGAGUCCGAGAUGCAGAGACUUGCUCAGCAGUUUGAACAGCCAGCAAGGGUCCAAUAUAAAAUGCAAAUAUCUGGGGCUAUACUGUCAGUGAAUUGAGGUGUACAAAAUAACGAUGGGGAAGAAGAAAGUGAGUAGGAGAGAAUGCUGAGAGUGACUGCAAGACUAUCUUAUAGUUCCACAAAUUUAUAUGCCAUCUGCAGAAGCCCAGUAGCCUAUCUGGCAUCAAUCCUCUUCUCCAGCUUUCAGCCUCAAGGAUGAGACCAUCACAUUCUCCUUCAAUCCUAGCCUACACCACCUCAGGCUUUUCUAAUUCACAGUGACAAUGUAAUUUAUUCAACCUAGCCUGUACUGCACAUAUGCACUUGCUGUUAAAUUUGGUCUGCUUCAUUAGUAGCUUUGCAAUUUUAUAAACAUGAGCUGAAAUGAAAAAGGAGAGGCAAAGAAGGUUGUUGCUGGAAAUGAGAGUUGAGCGGCACUCACUGUAAAUAAAUUUUGUUAGCACUGUA